rnacentral:rRNA from 1 species
CACGGAUAACAUACCGAAAGGUAUGCUAAUACGGGAUAAUAUAUUUGAGAGGCAUCUCUUAAAUAUCAAAGGUGAGCCAGUACAGGAUGGACCCGCGUCUGAUUAGCUAGUUGGUAAGGUAACGGCUUACCAAGGCAACGAUCAGUAGCCGACCUGAGAGGGUGAUCGGCCACAUUGGAACUGAGACACGGUCCAAACUCCUACGGGAGGCAGCAGUGGGGAAUAUUGCACAAUGGGCGAAAGCCUGAUGCAGCAACGCCGCGUGAGUGAUGAAGGCCUUCGGGUCGUAAAACUCUGUCCCCAAGGAAGAUAAUGACGGUACUUGAGGAGGAAGCCCCGGCUCACUACGUGCCAGCAGCCGCGGUAAUACGUAGGGGGCUAGCGUUAUCCGGAUUUACUGGGCGUAAAGGGUGCGUAGGCGGUCUUUCAAGUCAGGAGUGAAAGGCUACGGCUCAACCGUAGUAAGCUCUUGAAACUGGGAGACCUGAGUGCAGGAGAGGAGAGUGGAAUUCCUAGUGUAGCGGUGAAAUGCGUAGAUAUUAGGAGGAACACCAGUUGCGAAGGCGGCUCUCUGGACUGUAACUGACGCUGAGGCACGAAAGCGUGGGGAGCAAACAGGAUUAGAUACCCUGGUAGUCCACGCUGUAAACGAUGAGUACUAGGUGUCGGGGGUUACCCCCUUCGGUGCCGCAGCUAACG